GCUUUUCACGAUCAUCGAGUUUCGCUUGGCCGUGCCGUAGAGCUGGCUGCGCUUUGUGCGCUUGAUUUGUCAAGGGGACGAGCGUAGCGUAGCAUAGUGAGAGGCAGAGCGGCCCGUCGCGCCGGAUGUCGUUACGUUAAUUCGUUCUCAUCGGCGAGAGGAGCGCCGAUUCGACGAUCUGAGUAACAACCGAGGUGCCGGCGACGAGAGAACGACGACGACGACAACGACGUCGACGACGGGAAGAAUAGAAACGCGCGGCCGUCGGUCUCGUGUCGGCGAUGUGGCGAGCGUCCUGGGCUUCUGGGUGUCCGGCGGGGGUGCUCGCGCGUCCCGUGACGGCCGUGGCGAAUCUCCGGAUCGAGGGGUGAGGAAGUUGACGUAGGAACAGCUUGGGGCGCGCUCAGGCGAGAGCUCGCGUUCGUGUGAGCGAGCGAGCAAGCGAGUUUCACGAGGUCGCUCUCUUUGAGCCGCGCCGGAGGUGUUUAGGAGGCCAACGACAACGACAAGCCGUUCGACGAUAGGUAGAAAGCUCUACUUUCUACGCUAGCUCACGACGAUGGCAUCGCAGAAUCAGACCGCCGUCAACGUUACCUCGCCCGGUAUCACAUCGGCAGCGAUGACGACGACGAUGACGACCACGACGACGGCGACGACGACGAUCACGGCGACGACGACGGCGACGACGAUUACGGCGACGACGACAACUGCGGCGAACGGACCGCCGCCAACGUCAGCGCCGUCGCCGGGUUCUACCGUCCUGAGCAGCGCAGCCACUAUCUCGGCUGCGAAGGCACAGACUCUCGUCCUUGGCGCUCAGCCGUCUCAAUCCCAGCAACAGUUACAGCAACAGCAAGCCAACAACAUCGAAUCGCUAGACAAGAGUACCUCCAAUACUCUGAAGCGUAAUCCAAAGAUGGAGCUGAGCAAAACUGAUUUGCUGAAGUUACUGGGAUACCUGGAAGGUGAACUCCAAGCAAGAGACAUAGUGAUAGCGGCAUUAAAAUCAGAAAAAAUGAAACACCUUCUAAGUUCCCGGUAUCUUAGUAGUACUGUAGAUCCACACGCGGCAUUAGCUCGCGACGUCGCGAUAGUAGGUGGUGUUAUUGGUGUCGAAGGAAAUCAAAUUGAUCAACAAGUCGCUAGUCUUGAAGCACUAGUGACACAACAAAGAAAAGCACAAUGUAGGAUGACUAAAGUCCUUAGAGAUGCUGAAAUUAGGCACAGAUCAGUAAUUAAAGAAUUGGAGGAAGAGAAGCGCAAACACGAACAUGAUACCGCUCAAGGAGACGAUAUCACUUAUGGUCUUGAAAAAGAACGAACAAGAUUGAAGAAGGAAUUAGAAUUAGAGAAACAAGAAAAGAAAAGACUUGAGAUGGAGUUAAAAAAGGUUAACGACCAUCUCGAGGAAGAAAAGAAUCGACAGAAGCAGAUAGUACUGCUCCUCUUAGCAGAACGUAAAAAAAUUAUUAUGAAAUACAUUGAGGAGAGGAAACGAUCCGAAGAUUUGGCCCAAAUACUCAGUGAAGAGAAGGUGAGAAUUGACUCGAUGGCCGAGGGCCUCGAGGAGGAGAGUAAAAAGUCGCUACAGAUGGAAGCAGAACUGGAGAAACAAUUAGCCCAAUUUGAUAUGGAGAGGCAGCAGUAUCGGCAGGCUCUUGUGAAGGAAGAAAAGAGAGCGAAGGAUUUCGAGACGGAGGUGGAAAAGUUACGAGUCGAGAUGGAUACGUGGAAGGAGUCGCAGGCUCGCGGUCCCACAAGGGGAGUUGGCGCAAUUCCACCGCCGCCGCCCGCAAAACCAGCGAACCUGGUUGCCAUGCCGACUCUCAGGCCGGCUAGUGCUCCACAAACAAUGAAAGGGGCAGUCUUAGGUACAGGGACACCUAUGGUUAGCAGUAAAGUUGUUCAGCCUACUGCAACAGUAUCCAGUGUUCCUGUCAGUGGACCGACGACCGGAAUUGCUAGGUCUGUAAUACCAGGACAGGCACUUCGUGGAGUCGCAUAUACGCCUAAUUUAACAUCUGUGGGUGGAGAGUCUCCAGCUGCUUCAGAUACGCAGGCCGUAGACAAGCGACAGCCGGUUGUACCUGCAUCCGUUAGUAGCGCGGCCGCUGCCGCGGCUAAGCUUAUCACAUCGUCGCAAGCCGCCGUCGCCGCUGCGGGGAAGCUCGGCUUUCAUGUCGGCCAGUCUUCAAGUUCUGCCAGCCCCACUGUUCAAGCGUCCGCUGCUGCUGCUGCCGCCGGUGCUGGUGCUGGUGCUGGUGGCGGCGGCGGCGGCGGCGGCGGCGGUGGUAUCCUGCCCGUGAAAAAGCCGCCGAUCUCGCGCGGCGUGCCGCCUCCGGUACCACCGAAUAAGCCAGUGGUACCGCCGAAAAAGGAGGCGGCCGUUUAUCUCCGGAGACCGGAACUGCAAUCGCAAAGCGCGCCGCAGCAGGAUACCAUUAAAUACGGUGGUAAACAAGCGGCCCCGUCGCACGGUGCGACGAGCACAGUGGCGAGCGGAGCUGCAUCCAUACAAGCGCAGCAGCAACCGGCGAGCACCGCCCAAGCUGCCGCCGACGAAGAGGUCAGUAGCAAGACGGUGAAGUCGAGAUAGAUUAGUGGAAUGAUCGUUAUAUUCUUGUAAUGUGAUACAAGAUGCAUCUACUAAAGAUGUACUCAUCAAUAAACUCAUAAUAGAUAAAUACAAAGCCGCGUUGAUUUAGCGCUGAAAGAGAAAGAAAAUAAAAGCGAUACAUACACUACGAUAUCGUAGUAGAAAAGAAACAGAGAUGCUACGUCACAAAGCUUGGGAUCUAUGCCGGGAUCUGCAACGGAUUGCAAGAGAUUCCGUACUUGCAGGAGACCAUUUCUAAGGUUGCCAGAAGGAGAGAAACGAAAAAGAGAGAGGCGCUUUGUACAUUCGAUAGACUUUCGGAUAGACCGUUCUUUAAGGACGGCCGCGUUGUACAUUACGACUAGAUCUCAUUGUCGGCGACACCGAUGAAAGGAUUCAGGAUUCUAUUCGCAACGGAAUGGUAUUCAUACGGUUGUAGCAACCGAAGCAGCCGCGCGAAAAACUAGAGAUAUCUUUCAGAUAUGUAAGAUAACCGCCGUAGGUUCCUAGCUCAUUCUGUACGGACAUUGAUUAUCAUUUAUGAACAUAAGUCGUUUUAGGAGGGUACGGAAAGCGUUUAAUACGACGCGGGAACUGUUAAUAUCUUGCAAAAACUCGAGGGCUCGACGUCAUGUAAUAUCAACUCUAAUUAAUUAGAUUUUCAUUUCCUACUCGAGGAACGAUAACGCAAAACAAGUUGAAUCCAUCUCUUGCAAAUCUCAUUGGCUUUGUAAAAAAAGUUUUUUUGGUAUACAUAUUUUUAUAUAUUUAUAAAUUUUUAUAUAUAUAUAUAUAUAUAUAUAUUUCGCAAUCUCUAGAUAUUUUUUCCUCUAUCUUUCUCGCUAUUAUUAUACGUACACUGUAUAAAGUAAAGAAUCUAUAUCUUUGUAAAGCGGACUUGGACGUAUGGCGUUUUGCAGAUACACCACGAAUUUAUCUGAUUGGAUUCAAUCUGUUUCGCAUGAUCGUUCUGUGUAUGUAUGUAUGUAUGUAUGUAUGUAUGUAUGUAUGUAUGUAUGUGUAUAUAUAUAUAUAUAUAUAUAUAUAUAUAUAUAUAUAUAUAUAUACAUAUAUAUAUAUACAUACAUAUAUAUAUAUAUAUAUAUAUAUAUGUAUAUAUAUAUGUAUAUCACGGGUAGAACUGUAAUCUCUAAAAAAGGAUAGUGCUAAAACAUUAAAUGAAUUCAGUUGACUAACUGAAGUUAGUUAACUUAUAGAAACUCUAUCACGUGCUAUAAUCACUGCCUUGACUCACAUAAUCGUAUUUACAAGCUACAAGCUUAGAGCUAUCUGAAUGAAACUGUUCUACACAUUGCCAAAGAAUAGGCGUCACUGUUUUUCCAAGGCACAAUUAAUCUUUGUCAUCGGGACUUAAAAAAAUGUCUGAGGAAACGAAAGCAGAUAAAGGAGAUCAGUGUUUUCUACUCAAUCCUUUAAAAACCCUUGAUAUAUAAAAAAAAGAUGGUUAUACAUUUGUACAUUCUAACGUCUUCUUUUUUCACAUAAGGAUUCAUUCGUAUCUCAGGUAAAAAACGCUGUGUUGCGCUAAAAUGUACGAUGAAUAGAUGGAUCAUAGAGAUAUUAGUUUUUUCUUUAUACCUUUUUACUGUCAUUAAUUUAGCAACGAUGAAAAUGGAGAUCUAUUACUUAAACGCGAACGCUAGAAAUUUGCAAUUAUCAAUUGGACAAGCAGGGCACGAUUUAAUAAAUCACGCAAUUCUCGCAACAUUUUAAAUAGUUUUCGUCUUUCGAAUUACGUUAUUAAUGUAAAAUCAACAUCCUUCUGCGUAGAAGAAUUGUAUAUAACUCUAUGAUUUUAGAGUUCUUAGGUGACGUAUCCCUGAUUACGAGAUACAGUGUGAUCUCUAAAAUUACGAAUAAUACUCCUGGCAAAGUCUAUUGUAAAGUCUUCCAGUGUUUUACGUUACGUACGUUUGUAGAAUUUAAGUUCAAGGUUUAGUCAUGUCCGAUAACUGUUAAGUUAAUUAAUUGAAUGUAUUCUCGCUAUAUACAUAUAAGAACUGAAUUAUCCUUUUGAUCGUCAUUGCGAACACAAGCGGACAAGUAGCAGGAACUGGGACCAGGAUCAAGGGGAUUAACAUGCAGCUUGCAACACCGAGAAGAACAUAUGCUCGCAAUAAUAGCAACAGCAAGAACAAAAAACUAACCGCAACAAUAAAUAGUGAACUUUAAAUAAACAAUAACAAUAAUAAGAGUAACAAUAUAUCGCUAACGAUUAUGUUGAUUAUUGAUGAUAGUGGUAUCUGAUAUAAUAUUAAUAGAGAGAGAAAGAGUUUUGUUACUUUAACAAAACGCUAACAAAUGUGUAAUUUUAGUAGCAUUUAGCAGCAGCAGCAGCAGCGUCAGUAACAAUAGUAGUAUAUUAAUAGUAGAUAUAUAAUAGCUGUAAUGACUACAAUAAUAAUAACAGAUGUGCUUCUCAAAAUAAGGGAGAGAAAUCGUCGGCGAAAGAAACCAUUAAUAAAAAGACGGAGAUCUCAUUGCACGUUGUGCAUACUCACUAUCUCUAAGUCAAAAUAAUCCAACAGAGAGAUUCGUCCGAGUUAGGCUGGGUGUACAUUUAAGAGUUUUACUUUUCGAUAAAGUGUUCUCGAUAGAUGAAACACUCUUUAGAGUUAGGACCAUGAAUGGCUUUUAAUGGCUAGGAUCUGCUUUAAAACUUAUCCUCCAAGAUGGCAAUUCUUGAUAUAUAUCUGUAUGCUAUAAAUAUGAAAAUUUAUACAUAUAUAUAUAUAGAAAAUGGUGUAAAGAAAUGUUCAGUAAAACUCUCAAUGAACAUCUGCUUUCGAAGGCCGCUGUGUUCUCGCGUAUCAUCCAUCGCACAAAGUUUUUGUUUUCCGUGUCCGUGUGAGUGAUGGCUAGUUUAAUUAGUAAUUAACACGAGAAGGGUCCGACCAUAUUGAUCUCGAGCAAAUUAUCGAAAAUUAUCUCGCGCGUUAUUAAGCAAAGUUUUACAUCUUUCUGAUUAUUUUACAAUUUUGAAUAAUAAAAACUUCUGUAUAAUAUUUAAAAAAAAGCGGGUCCUUUUGGUGUUAAUUUUACACGAACGCGCUUAUAUAUAUAUACAUACACGCUCAUAUAAAUACACAAAUGUAGUUCUGUAAAAGACGAAUAAUACUUUGUAUACUUGAUAGAUAGAUAAUCGGUGUACAUAGAUCGUCGAUAUGUACGUGAAAUCUUAAGUUAGCCGUAAAAAAUAGAGAUGUUGACGGAAGACAAUGGUCAUACGAAAUCGUAUUCAUGUCUUGUUAAUUUUAUCGAAUACAUGAUGUAUAUACGUGCAUAAUGCGCCAGUCGCAUGUGAGCGGAAGUUAAAGUUUUAAGGGAGACAGUCAUUUUGUUGACAUUAAAAAAUAUGAGAAUGAACGUGUGUAUUAAAUAUUCAAACGAGCAUCGGAUGAUGCUCGCAUUUCGAGGCUGUCAGGAUACUAUAUUCUAUAAAAUCGACUCAUUUGAUGCUAGCGAGCCGUUAGUCUACGAUUUUUAUCGGCGUUACUCAUUGCACUUGUUUCCGCAUAACUGUAUGCGUUAAUGGCGUAUUUAAUAACUGUAUUACACUCAUAAAGGAAAUGUUUAAUUUUAAGAUGUUAAAAUAUUUUAUUUUUGUUUCCGUUUUUUCGGCAGUUAUGAAAAUGGUUUUAAAAACGAUGUUUAGAUUUAAAACACUAAAACUUCCAACGCUGUCAAAAAUGUUUCAGUUUUAAAUGUUUUGUGUUUUUAAAUUAAAUCGUGUAUAUAUAUAUAACUAAAAUAUUUUUAAGUAUUUAAAACGAAGACAAAAAUAAAGCAUUUAAUAUCUUAAAAUCUUAAAUCUUUUUAUGAGUGUGACGGUGAACCCUUCUAACAAUUUCACGCAAUUUAUUUCACGUUACAAAUCUUACUAAUAUAUGUUAAAGAUGGUUUUCUCCGUCUGUCAAAAUUUGCUAGAACCGGAAUUUCUAAAUAUUACCCAACGAAACCAUGUAAACGCGAUUUACAUGUUAAAAAAAUAUAUAUUAUAAAUACCGAAUUAAAAUCUGAAAUUUGCGUUUUCUCAUGUUACUGUAGAUCUCGAAUUCUCGUGAUGUUGUACGAGUAGAAAUAUCAUCAUCUGGCGACUGUCUUCGUAUGUAGAAAAGACUUUACCGUUUAAGUGAUAGCGAGAUAUUAGAAGAGAGAGAUAAACUUUUAUACAUGCGAGAUAUUCUCGCAAACGCCAUUAUAUGCAUAUUACGUGUGUAUUCAAUCAAAGCGACCCCUUUUCCUCGCAUUUCUCUAGUAGCAUAAUGGUCAUUAACAAACACAUGGAAUGCGUGUGUUUAUUAGCGAUUGUGUUACUAGAGUAGUAAAGUAAAAGACAUUAACCGCGAUCAGCGGCUAUGAGCGGUAUAAAAUUGACACUCGAAUCGUGAUUAACUGUCAUUUGAGCUAGUAACUAGUAAUUCAGCGAAGUUACAGAGGUACUGCGAGUAAAAGUUAUUUGUCUUGAUUCUUGCAGAUAAUAAAUUUAGUUUAUAAAAAUAAUUAAUAAUUUUUUGAUAAAUAAUAAUCGAUUAUUUUUUUUAUUAAAAUAUCUCUAGGAUUCUAUUUGUUUUAUUAAUAAACAAGACUGUGAUGUGUAUAAUACAAUUUCUUGAAUUUUUAAUAAUUAAAAGAAUUUGAUUAUUAGUAGACCUGCGGUAAUUAAGCAUUUUUGGCAGUAAGUUGGGAUCGUAUCAAGUAAAAUAAGAAAACUGAUAACUACUGGCUCGUAUGACAUGUACUAUUGUUGCUUGAGUGUGAUUACUACCGAUCAAUAUCACGUUGGAGAACGUACUUUUUAUGAAAAACGCCUUAUCGUUGCUUGUUGUCUUUUACCUUAGUACGACAAAGCGCGAGAAACCUCACCCAUGUCAAAGUAUCGGAUCAAAAUAAUUGUACUCACGAGUGCGAGAGCACGUUAUUUUAUAAAUGUUAUAUUAUUAACUAUGUUCUCUCUUUCUCUCUCUCUCUCUCUCUUUCUCUCUCCAGAUUUCUCUCGCAAUAGAUAGACCGUCGUUUUCGAGCGGGGCUGAUUGAGAGAAAAUACAUUAUAUUAUUAAUUGAGUAAUUAUUAGAGCGUGUCUCGUGUGGCUCGAUAGGCUGCGUCAAGACUUUUCUCGAGAUUGUAAAUAGUAUAAUUAUUUAAUAUCGCUUACACACACACACAUAUAUAUAUAUACAUACGAAUUUAGAUUUAAAUAAAACUGUGAUUUUUUUACGUUAUUAGGUGUCCGGUUGCUGAUUUAUUUACCGUCUUUUCUGAUUGUGAGUUUACCGAGCAGCCUAUGACCGAUGUAUUUAAGGCUUCUUAAAUAUUUAUCUGUGUUACUCACAAGCUGUUGGUCAAUAUCUUUAACGCUGUUCUUCAAAAAUCAAAUUUAUAAUUAAUACGAUCAUGCUCAAAUUAUUUUAUGGAUGUUCUUUUGAUAGAAAAAAGGUAAAAUAACAAAAUAACAAAUAAAAUAAAUGAAAGAACUGACAAUAUUUGCAAGAAUCUUGGUAUAAAAUUUGAUAUUAACUAUAUUAACGUACUAAUGUGAUACUAUAUAAUUAUUGCUGGACAGUAACGCUGUUAGAUUUUUAAUGACACUUUAACGUAUGAAAGAUUUAAAAAAAAAAAAUUGAGUUAUUGACCGACAGUGUAUACUUUUAAUGUUCUUAUGUACUUUUUUUUUUAUUUGCACUCCAGUCGAUUCUUAGUGCUAGCUUUAAAUCUCAUCACACAUAGUGUAAAUAUAUAUAUCAAAUAACUCUCUCUUCUGCGCUUUUCUAAAGAGUAGUAAUAUUGAAAUUCUGUUCGAGAUCUUCCAAUAGCAGUCGUAAAUCUCGCAAGGGAUUGCGUCAAGGAAAAAUUUAACAAACCGGAUUCCCUUCGACGAUUGUACUUAUAUGCAAUUCGUGUACAAUUUGUAAAUUGCAUCCUCCGUCGCGAGAUAUUUCGCGUGAGAGGGAUACUUGGAAAGAUUUUGCAAAAAAUUUAUCGUAUUCUUAAUUGAUAUACUCUGCCGCGAUCACUGAGCGUUAGAACAUAGACGAGAACUGUAUUUAUUUUAAGCUAUAUCCUGUAUACUGAGAUAUAUCAGCAUGGUACCUGUCGAUAUUGAUUGAGUUUACAUUGAUCACGAGUAGCGGGCGAUUUCAUUAAUGUACAGAAUUCUAGUGAGUUUUGCAAACGCGUCUGUCGCGGACGAAAGAGCGUUUUGGGCUGUAAAACUAGCGUUUUAAUAGUUUAAGAGAUUAUAUAUAAAAAGAGAAAUGGAAAAAAAUGCGCUAGCGCAAUUUUUUUCGAAGGCGCAGUCAAGGAAUCAUGUCAUAAUCACUAUUACCGUUCUGUUUUCUUUGUAGAUAACGCGAAUUACGUAUGCAAUCUCGUUGCGACGUGCGAACUCGUUCGAAUCCGUAAAAUUCAUAAUCGACCGUAAAAUUAUGGUACAACGAAAUGCUUUCGUCAACUUUUGUCUUACGAUUUGAACGACAUGGAAUUAAAAAUAGAAUUGAAUUUAUAAUUAAUUAUGUAAUUUCAAUUUAUCAUUACAAAUGUUUUAGACGAUAAACGUAUUCUAUCUAUUCAAUAAAUAAACAUUUUAAUGUCUAUUAGAUGAUGCCAAUUACGAAAAACUUUUUACGAAAAAUUAGAAACACUUGUGGACAAUUUCACACGUAAAUCAAGUGUAUCAAGCAAUUUAAUAAUAAUAAAAUACUUUUGACAAAGUGUUCUCGUUCGUCAAAUUAUAAAAAGGAAAGACUGGAUUCGAACAGCGCAACUAGAUAUUUAAGAGACAUAUUUCUAUUAAAAUCUAAGUACUUUGUUUCUACCAUAAUUGUUCGACAUUGUCAUUAACAUUAUCUGUCUUUUGUAGACUGUCAUGAUCAUCGUCAUUAUCAUCCUCUAUGUCCAGAAUGACAACAAAUGUAAUGUAAUACAAUAGUAAUUGUUAUCUUCUGUGCUAUACAAAAGGAAAAAUAUACAUUGACAUAUGA